rnacentral:lncRNA from 1 species
GAUGCGAGAUUGGCCUUAAGGAAAAAGAACACACGUAGGAGACAUUGGCAGAUAUAAUCAGCAAAGAAUUUAAUUGUGUUGUGACAGCCGCCCAGGUAGAAAAUAAAUGGCGAAAUUUAGAAAAAAAUUACAAAAAUGCAAGAGCAAACAACUCAAGAUCUGGUGCUGGACGAAAGACUUGCGAGUUUGAAGAGCAGCUGGCUGAAGUGUUCGAGAAGUCUCAUGCAAUAAACCCCCGUUGCCUUGGGGGACCAGGAAAGCUAAGGAGGUCAAGCACCCAGGCAGAUGCUUCUGCCAGCACAAUUAGUGCUGGCACUUCAUCCGCCGCCAGCCCCCAGCCCGGCACAAGUCCUGAUGAGACAGCGCAAGACAUGGGCUGUGAUGAGGCAGACAGCCCACCACCGCCACCACCAUCGCCAAGCCCACCACCAGGCACACCUGGACCCAAUGUACCCCCACCGCCACAAGGCCUGCCAGCCAGAAAACCACGGCAGGACCGUGUGCGUGCCCAGAUUGACGCCUUCCUCGGCCAUCUCAAAUCGACAGAGGAGAGCCGUGAAAAGUGGCGCAAGGAAUGUCAGUCAAUGGAAGAAGAGGAAUUGAUGACAGAAGAGCGGCAGCAUCAGGAGCUGCUCUGUGUC